GACGAACGCUGGCGGCGUGCUUAACACAUGCAAGUCGAACGGAAAGGCCCUGCUUGCAGGGUGCUCGAGUGGCGAACGGGUGAGUAACACGUGGGUGAUCUGCCCCUUACUUUGGGAUAAGCCUGGGAAACUGGGUCUAAUACUGGAUAGGACCAUGCUGUAGGUGGUGUGGUGGAAAGAUUAGUUUCGGUAAGGGAUGAGCUCGCGGCCUAUCAGCUUGUUGGUGGGGUAAUGGCCUACCAAGGCGUCGACGGGUAGCCGGCCUGAGAGGGUGGACGGCCACAUUGGGACUGAGAUACGGCCCAGACUCCUACGGGAGGCAGCAGUGGGGAAUAUUGCACAAUGGGCGCAAGCCUGAUGCAGCGACGCCGCGUGGGGGAUGACGGCCUUCGGGUUGUAAACUCCUUUCAGCUAUGACGAAGCCCUUGUGGUGACGGUAGUGGUAGAAGAAGCACCGGCUAACUACGUGCCAGCAGCCGCGGUAAUACGUAGGGUGCGAGCGUUGUCCGGAAUUACUGGGCGUAAAGAGCUCGUAGGUGGUCUGUCGCGUCAUUUGUGAAAGCCCGGGGCUUAACUCCGGGUUGGCAGGUGAUACGGGCAUGACUGGAGUACUGUAGGGGAGACUGGAAUUCCUGGUGUAGCGGUGAAAUGCGCAGAUAUCAGGAGGAACACCGGUGGCGAAGGCGGGUCUCUGGGCAGUAACUGACGCUGAGGAGCGAAAGCAUGGGUAGCGAACAGGAUUAGAUACCCUGGUAGUCCAUGCCGUAAACGGUGGGCGCUAGGUGUGGGUUUCCUUCCACGGGAUCCGUGCCGUAGCUAACGCAUUAAGCGCCCCGCCUGGGGAGUACGGCCGCAAGGCUAAAACUCAAAGGAAUUGACGGGGGCCCGCACGAGCGGCGGAGCAUGUGGAUUAAUUCGAUGCAACGCGAAGAACCUUACCUGGGCUUGACAUGCACUGGAUGCGGCCAGAGAUGGUUGUUCCCUUUGUGGCUGGUGUGCAGGUGGUGCAUGGUUGUCGUCAGCUCGUGCCGUGAGAUGUUGGGUUAAGUCCCGCAACGAGCGCAACCCUUGUCUCGUGUUGCCAGCAUUUGGUUGGGGACUCGCGGGAGACUGCCGGGGUUAACUCGGAGGAAGGUGGGGAUGACGUCAAAUCAUCAUGCCCCUUAUGUCCAGGGCUUCACACAUGCUACAAUGGCUGGUACAGAGAGUUGCGAUACCGUGAGGUGGGGCUAAUCUCGUAAAGCCAGUCUCAGUUCGGAUUGGAGUCUGCAACUCGACUCCAUGAAGUCGGAGUCGCUAGUAAUCGCAGAUCAGCAAUGCUGCGGUGAAUACGUUUCCCGGGCCU
rnacentral:rRNA from 1 species